rnacentral:rRNA from 1 species
UACAGAGGGUGCGAGCGUUGUCCGGAAUCACUGGGCGUAAAGGGCGCGUAGGUGGCGACCCAAGUCGAUGGUGAAAGCUCGCCGCUCAACGGCGAGUCGGCCACCGAUACUGGGUUGCUGGAGCACUGUAGAGGCAGAUGGAAUUCCGGGAUGUAGCGGUGGAAUGCGUAGAGAUCCGGAAGAACGACCGGUGGCGAAGGCGGUCUGCUGGGCAGUUGCUGACACUGAGGCGCGGACAGCGUGGGGAGCAAACAGGG